UACGAAGGGUGCAAACGUUGCUCGGAAUUAUUGGGCGUAAAGCGCACGUAGGCGGCUUAGCAAGUCGGAUGUGAAAGCCCUCGGCUCAACCAAGGAAGUGCAUCCGAAACUGCUGAGCUUGAGUACUUAAGAGGAUCGCGGAAUUCCCGGUGUAGAGGUGAAAUUCGUAGAUAUCAGGAGGAACACCAGUGGCGAAGGCGGCUUUCUGGACGGUAACUGACGCUGAGACGCGAAAGCGUGGGGAGCAAACAGG
rnacentral:rRNA from 1 species